AUCAGAAAUUGGAGGCACAUUAGGUUAAGGAACUUGCCCCAAACCACAGAGGAAAUGGCAAGAUUGGGAAAUCAGCCCAGGCUUCCAUACUUCACAUAUCUUAUUCCUCAGUAUGAAAACAAACUGCCAACAGAAUGAUGAAAAAUGUAAGAAGAUGUGUAUAUCAAAGUUGAUGAAACUUAAAACUGAUGUUUGAAGUGGUUUCUAAAAAGAGCAAUAAUUUUUGAGAGGACUCUUGGAGAAUGCAUAGUUAACUUGGAUCCAGCAAGACCGAACGGAUGCAUUAGUCUUAAGGUUCGGAGCGGCCGGCUCACAGCGCCACCUGGCGUCCACUUUCGGAAGCGGCGAGAACAGCUUUAAAACGAAAAGUGAGGUAAAGCUGGUCCUCAGCUGUGCACGAAGGAACCUAUCUGGGAGCAGACAGGUGAGGUCGGUAUUGGGCGCCCAGAUUUCUUGGUCUGGAGGUGAGAGGGGUUUUGCAGGCCUUUUUCACUGGCUCCUGGAUCCCGCUGUGAAUCUAUUCUUUUUGAGGCUCUUUGAUUUCCGGACCAAUCCUUGUGAUUUUCUGAGCGCUUCCAUCCUGCAUUCUUCAUCAGCUGUUUGGAGGGGUGAUGUAACAAUAGUUAGACAAAUCUCAAAUUGGGAAAUUAUUAAUAAUAGUUUUUAUACCAAGGAUGAAUAG
rnacentral:lncRNA from 1 species